rnacentral:rRNA from 1 species
CCUACGGGAGACAGCAGUAGGGAAUAUUGCUCAAUGGGGGAAACCCUGAAGCAGCAACGCCGCGUGGAGGAUGAAGGUUUUCGGAUUGUAAACUCCUUUUGUUAGAGAAGAUAAUGACGGUAUCUAACGAAUAAGCACCGGCUAACUCCGUGCCAGCAGCCGCGGUAAUACGGAGGGUGCAAGCGUUACUCGGAAUCACUGGGCGUAAAGGGCGCGUAGGCGGGAUAGCAAGUCAGAUGUGAAAUCCUAUGGCUUAACCAUAGAACUGCAUUUGAAACUGUUAUUCUAGAGUAUGGGAGAGGUAGGUGGAAUUCUUGGUGUAGGGGUAAAAUCCGUAGAGAUCAAGAGGAAUACUCAUUGCGAAGGCGACCUGCUAGAACAUAACUGACGCUGAUGCGCGAAAGCGUGGGGAGCAAACAGGAUUAUAUACCCGAGUAGUC